GUAGAUUUCAAAGUUCUCAUUACAGGGAAAAAGUUUUAACAGUGUGUGAUGAUGACUAAACUGAGUAUACUAAUCAUUUUACAAUAUAUAAGUAUAUGAAACACCAUGUUGUACAACUAAAUCUCAUGCAAUGUUAUAUGUCAAGUCUAUCUCAAUAAAACUGGGGGAAAAUAGGGGAUGACAAUGUAGAAAGAACAUUUGAUGCAGUUCCUUAUUGAUUACGUGUGGGUACAUUCAUUGUUAAAUUAUCUGGCAUAUUUUUCUCUUCCUGGGCUCCUUGGAGGAAGGAGAAUCGAAGUUUAGGUCUAUGUGUUCUGAAAAUCACAACUUGAAAAGUGUGUCUCAAACUGACCACCUGAGAAUAAAGAGGGAAGGAAACAGACUUCAGGGGAAGCUUAGAGGUCUUUGGAAGAUACAUCACACAUUCAGCUGCUCAGAGAAAACUAUCAAUAUUUGCCAUAGUGAAGAAAAAGAAGAUUUACUUAUUUAAGAGUUUUUUAGUGAG